GGUGUAGGCGGCUUGGCAAGUCGGGUGUGAAAUCCCAGGGCUCAACCCUGGACGUGCACUCGAAACUGCCGAGCUCGAGUCCUGGAGAGGAAGGUGGAAUGCUUGGUGUAGAGGUGAAAUUCGUAGAUAUCAAGCGGAACACCAGUGGCGAAGGCGGCUCACUGGCUCGAUACUGACGCUGAGGUGCGAAAGCGUGGGGAGCAAACA
rnacentral:rRNA from 1 species